AGAGUUUGAUCAUGGCUCAGGACGAACGCUGGCGGCGUGCCUAAUACAUGCAAGUCGAACGCUUCUUUCCUCCCGAGUGCUUGCACUCAAUUGGAAAGAGGAGUGGCGGACGGGUGAGUAACACGUGGGUAACCUACCCAUCAGAGGGGGAUAACACUUGGAAACAGGUGCUAAUACCGCAUAACAGUUUAUGCCGCAUGGCAUAAGAGUGAAAGGCGCUUUCGGGUGUCGCUGAUGGAUGGACCCGCGGUGCAUUAGCUAGUUGGUGAGGUAACGGCUCACCAAGGCCACGAUGCAUAGCCGACCUGAGAGGGUGAUCGGCCACACUGGGACUGAGACACGGCCCAGACUCCUACGGGAGGCAGCAGUAGGGAAUCUUCGGCAAUGGACGAAAGUCUGACCGAGCAACGCCGCGUGAGUGAAGAAGGUUUUCGGAUCGUAAAACUCUGUUGUUAGAGAAGAACAAGGACGUUAGUAACUGAACGUCCCCUGACGGUAUCUAACCAGAAAGCCACGGCUAACUACGUGCCAGCAGCCGCGGUAAUACGUAGGUGGCAAGCGUUGUCCGGAUUUAUUGGGCGUAAAGCGAGCGCAGGCGGUUUCUUAAGUCUGAUGUGAAAGCCCCCGGCUCAACCGGGGAGGGUCAUUGGAAACUGGGAGACUUGAGUGCAGAAGAGGAGAGUGGAAUUCCAUGUGUAGCGGUGAAAUGCGUAGAUAUAUGGAGGAACACCAGUGGCGAAGGCGGCUCUCUGGUCUGUAACUGACGCUGAGGCUCGAAAGCGAGGGGAGCAAACAGGAUUAGAUACCCUGGUAGUCCACGCCGUAAACGAUGAGUGCUAAGUGUUGGAGGGUUUCCGCCCUUCAGUGCUGCAGCAAACGCAUUAAGCACUCCGCCUGGGGAGUACGACCGCAAGGUUGAAACUCAAAGGAAUUGACGGGGGCCCGCACAAGCGGUGGAGCAUGUGGUUUAAUUCGAAGCAACGCGAAGAACCUUACCAGGUCUUGACAUCCUUUGACCACUCUAGAGAUAGAGCUUUCCCUUCGGGGACAAAGUGACAGGUGGUGCAUGGUUGUCGUCAGCUCGUGUCGUGAGAUGUUGGGUUAAGUCCCGCAACGAGCGCAACCCUUAUUGUUAGUUGCCAUCAUUUAGUUGGGCACUCUAGCGAGACUGCCGGUGACAAACCGGAGGAAGGUGGGGAUGACGUCAAAUCAUCAUGCCCCUUAUGACCUGGGCUACACACGUGCUACAAUGGGAAGUACAACGAGUCGCUAGACCGCGAGGUCAUGCAAAUCUCUUAAAGCUUCUCUCAGUUCGGAUUGCAGGCUGCAACUCGCCUGCAUGAAGCCGGAAUCGCUAGUAAUCGCGGAUCAGCACGCCGCGGUGAAUACGUUCCCGGGCCUUGUACACACCGCCCGUCACACCACGAGAGUUUGUAACACCCGAAGUCGGUGAGGUAACCUUUUUGGAGCCAGCCGCCUAAGGUGGGAUAGAUGAUUGGGGUGAAGUCGUAACAAGGUAGCC
rnacentral:rRNA from 1 species